rfam:Staphylococcus aureus subsp. aureus NCTC 8325, complete genome.
UUGUCUCCUUUAGUUUGGGUUUGGUCACUUUAAAUUAUAGAGGCAAUUGCGCUUUUUG